UUAACCCUGCCCGGGUCAGCGGUACAUUGCCCCAGCAAAAUCUACUGUGAGGUUCAACACAGCGGGUCACACAAGAGCAAAGAAAUAUCAUGUCCAGUGAUUAAUCCACGGGAGCCAUCAGUGUCUGUGCUCCUGCCACCAACAGAAGAAAUCUCCGCUGAAAGGGUUCUCUCCCUCACCUGUUUAGUGAGAGGUUUCUCCCCCCGAGAGAUCUUCGUUAAGUGGACAAACAAUGGCGAGCCUGUAAAUCCCAGUAACUACAAGAACACCGAGGUAAUAGUGGAGAGCGACAUCACCUCCUUCUUCAUGUCCAGUCUGUUAUCCAUUACAGCAGAAGACUGGGCCAGUGGUGCUUCUUACUCCUGUGUGGUGGGACAUGAAGUGAUUCCGUUGAAGAUCAUCAACAGAACAGUCAAUAAAUCCAGCGGUAAACCAAGUUUUAUAAACAUUUUGCUUGCACUGAUGGACACU